CAGGUGCGAAAGCGUGGGGGAGCAAAACAGGAUUAGAUACCCUGGUAGUCCACGCUGUAAACGAUGUCGAUUUGGAGGUUGUGCCCUUGAGGCGUGGCUUCCGGAGCUAACGCGUUAAAUCGACCGCCUGGGGAGUACGGCCGCAAGGUUAAAACUCAAAUGAAUUGACGGGGGCCCGCACAAGCGGUGGAGCAUGUGGUUUAAUUCGAUGCAACGCGAAGAACCUUACCUACUCUUGACAUCCAGAGAACUUAGCAGAGAUGCUUUGGUGCCUUCGGGAACUCUGAGACAGGUGCUGCAUGGCUGUCGUCAGCUCGUGUUGUGAAAUGUUGGGUUAAGUCCCGCAACGAGCGCAACCCUUAUCCUUUGUUGCCAGCGAUUCGGUCGGGAACUCAAAGGAGACUGCCGGUGAUAAACCGGAGGAAGGUGGGGAUGACGUCAAGUCAUCAUGGCCCUUACGAGUAGGGCUACACACGUGCUACAAUGGCGUAUACAAAGAGAAGCGACCUCGCGAGAGCAAGCGGAACUCAUAAAGUACGUCGUAGUCCGGAUUGGAGUCUGCAACUCGACUCCAUGAAGUCGGAAUCGCUAGUAAUCGUAGAUCAGAAUGCUACGGUGAAUACGUUCCCGGGCCUUGUACACACCGCCCGUCACACCAUGGGAGUGGGUUGCAAAAGAAGUAGGUAGCUUAACCUUUCGGAGGGCGC
rnacentral:rRNA from 1 species